GGAAUAUUGGGCAAUGGGCGAAAGCCUGACCCAGCAACGCCGCGUGAAGGAAGAAGGUCUUCGGAUUGUAAACUUCUUUUAUGAGGGACGAAGGACGUGACGGUACCUCAUGAAUAAGCCACGGCUAACUACGUGCCAGCAGCCGCGGUAAUACGUAGGUGGCGAGCGUUAUCCGGAUUUACUGGGUGUAAAGGGCGCGUAGGCGGAUCAGCAAGUCAGAUGUGAAAUCCAUGGGCUUAACUCAUGAACUGCAUUUGAAACUGUUGAUCUUGAGUGCUGGAGAGGUAGACGGAAUUCCUAGUGUAGCGGUGAAAUGCGUAGAUAUUAGGAAGAACACCGGCGGCGAAGGCGGUCUACUGGACAGUAACUGACGCUGAGGCGCGAAAGCGUGGGGAGCAAACA
rnacentral:rRNA from 1 species